rnacentral:rRNA from 1 species
AUUGAACGCUGGCGGCAUGCUUUACACAUGCAAGUCGAACGGCAGCGCGGGCUUCGGCCUGGCGGCGAGUGGCGAACGGGUGAGUAAUACAUCGGAACGUGCCCAGUAGUGGGGGAUAGCUCGGCGAAAGCCGGAUUAAUACCGCAUACGAACUGAGGGUGAAAGCGGGGGAUCUUCGGACCUCGCGCUAUUGGAGCGGCCGAUGGCAGAUUAGCUAGUUGGUGGGGUAAAGGCCUACCAAGGCGACGAUCUGUAGCUGGUCUGAGAGGACGACCAGCCACACUGGGACUGAGACACGGCCCAGACUCCUACGGGAGGCAGCAGUGGGGAAUUUUGGACAAUGGGCGAAAGCCUGACCCAGCAAUGCCGCGUGUGUGAUGAAGGCCUUCGGGUUGUAAAGCACUUUUGGCGGGAACGAAAAGGACUGUGCCAAUACCACGGUUCGAUGACGGUACCCGCAGAAUAAGCACCGGCUAACUACGUG